rnacentral:rRNA from 1 species
AACGAGCGCCGGCGGCAUGCCUAACACAUGCAAGUCGAACGAAGGCUUCGGCCUUAGUGGCGCACGGGUGCGUAACGCGUGGGAAUCUGCCCUUUGGUUCGGAAUAACAGCUGGAAACGGCUGCUAAUACCGGAUGAUGACGAAAGUCCAAAGAUUUAUCGCCAGAGGAUGAGCCCGCGUUGGAUUAGGUAGUUGGUGGGGUAAAGGCCUACCAAGCCGACGAUCCAUAGCUGGUCUGAGAGGAUGAUCAGCCACACUGGGACUGAGACACGGCCCAGACUCCUACGGGAGGCAGCAGUGGGGAAUAUUGGACAAUGGGCGCAAGCCUGAUCCAGCAAUGCCGCGUGAGUGAUGAAGGCCCUAGGGUUGUAAAGCUCUUUUACCCGGGAAGAUAAUGACUGUACCGGGAGAAUAAGCCCCGGCUAACUCCGUG